rnacentral:misc_RNA from 1 species
ACUACCAAACAACCAAAUUAGAAAAAUUAAAGAAAAAGAACCAAGUUUGGUUGGAAACAACGAACAGUGGCAUCAGUGGCAACAGCUGAUUACACAGUUUGUGAAAACGUAAACAUAAUCCACCUGCGGGCCAUUUUUAGGCACCGAGACUUUUGAGAAUUAUAGAAAAUACAGGAAUUUUUAGAGCAAAUUUGUUUAAAUGAAGGCCAUUGUGCAGAGAGUAACUGCCGCAAAGGUAACCGUUGGCGACGAGCUGAUUAGCUCGAUUGGACGUGGCCUAUGCGUGCUUGUGGGUAUAACGCACUCGGACACGGAGAAGGAUGUGGAAUAUCUGUAGCGUCCGCAAGCUCGUCGCCUUACGUCUUUUUGAAGAUACAGCAGGUAAACGUUGGCAGAAAAGCAUCAAAGAUGAGCAACUGGAAAUAUUGUGCGUCUCGCAAUUCACACUCUAUCACCGUCUUAAAGGGAAUAAACCUGAUUUUCAUUUGGCCAUGCAAGGCGACACUGCGCAAAACUUAUAUAACUCGUUUCUAAAACGGUUGGAAAAAGACUAUGAUGCGACGAAAAUAAAAGAUGGCAAAUUUGGCGCAUACAUGCAAGUACACAUUCAAAAUGAUGGGCCUGUCACCAUUGAACUGGAGUCACCAAUUGACGCAAAAGCUAAUAAGGUUUUCAAACCA